rnacentral:sRNA from 1 species
UUAACAGUCCUAGAGACUGACGUUCGCUCUAGUCACAGAACAGAUACAGCACAGCCAGCAGCAAUGCAAGCUCCCCCACACUGCUCUGCCAAUGAACCUCAAUCUUGAUCUGGAAGGGGUUAUGUUAAAGGCAAGAUGACAGAUCAGUCUCCAUGCCCCAUUCAAUCUUUGACCCCU